rnacentral:rRNA from 1 species
ACAUGCCUACAACAUAGCGUUAAUGCAUUGAAUCCCAUUAGAACUCCUCAAAUAAGCACCUCAGGAUAGAGUAAUAUCGGGAUGGGUGACCGCCAGGGAAGUCCUAGUGUUUUACAUGCC